rnacentral:rRNA from 1 species
UUCCGCGUGCAGGAUGAAGGCCUUCGGGUUGUAAACUGCUUUUGUACGGAACGAAACGGUGAGCUCUAAUACAGUUUGCUAAUGACGGUACCGUAAGAAUAAGCACCGGCUAACUACGUGCCAGCAGCCGCGGUAAUACGUAGGGUGCAAGCGUUAAUCGGAAUUACUGGGCGUAAAGCGUGCGCAGGCGGUGAUGUAAGACAGUUGUGAAAUCCCCGGGCUCAACCUGGGAACUGCAUCUGUGACUGCAUCGCUAGAGUACGGCAGAGGGGGAUGGAAUUCCGCGUGUAGCAGUGAAAUGCGUAGAUAUGCGGAGGAACACCGAUGGCGAAGGCAAUCCCCUGGGCCUGUACUGACGCUCAUGCACGAAAGCGUGGGGAGCAAACAGGAUUAGAUACCCUGGUAGUCCACGCCCUAAACGAUGUCAACUGGUUGUUGGGUCUUCACUGACUCAGUAACGAAGCUAACGCGU